GCCUGCUGGUCUGCUGGCGGGCAGGCGGCGCUGGGCCGGAGCCUCUCCCUCCGGUGCGCACAGCGCACCCUCUCCUCCCCCGGCCGCCCGUCGCAGCGCGGAGAGGGCGUGUCGGCACCCUGCCUGGCGAGCGCCCACCCCUACAAUGGCUGCGAGCGCGCGGGACGGAGGGUGCACCGCCGCUCCCCGGGGACUUGCACGGGUGGCGCGCCUAGCCCAGAGCCCGCUUGUAGUGAGCGCUCAGUAGGGCGGGAAAGCUGCUGCCGCUACUGCGGCCUUCUGAGAAGACGCCCAUUCUCUGAUGUCAGGACUGCAUCGCCGAGUCCUGAUUGCAAAUAGCGAAAUAUAUAAUUAAGGAGAGUUCGGGGGCGUAUCCUGCAAUGGGAUGCCGAGUUCGAUAAAGUUGCAGGAUGCUGGGAAAGUGGAUUGAUUUGCUGUUGCUAAAUGAAUGGAAACAGCGUUAGAGCUUCUGUCCACGAUCCAUCAGUCUAUCGAGAUUGCUGAUUGCCUAUGACUUGGACGGUUGAUGGUUUUCAGGCCCACUGAGAGCAGCCAGCGUUGGUAUAACCGCAGGGAGCCCUCCUGGGAGGUUGAACCUGCAGAGCGCAAAUGUGCCCAGGUUGAUUUGGGGCCUAGUGGUCCAUUUUCACAGCUCCACUGCCUAUCUGCAUAACCAGGAGCCCUCAUUCAGAUGAACGCCAAAUGGGCCAGAGGGAGGAGAAUCAAAUGAGCAACUUUUAAAAGAUAUUAAGACAUAGGCACCUAACUCCGGACAGUUCCUUUAACCCUUGAGCUAACCAUUUGAAGCACAAAACAUAACAAAAGAAAAGACUGGGGGGAGUGGGGCCAAAAGAAACCAAGUGCAAAAUUCUGUACACUUGUGUCAGAUUCACUCCGUAAUGGGAAAAGGUCUGGCUUUGAAAACUUUAUGGAUCAAAGGGAUGCAUGGAGUUACACAGCACAGCUGCAGAAGAUAAUGUUCCCCUGGAUCACUCUGCCCAACUCUUAACUGCAACCCACCUUCCCCAUCCGUCUCCCCGAAAUCACCCGGAAGGGUGUUACCUUCAGGAAGUAACUGAUCUCUUGAUCACCCCUGCUGGAUCCUGUCCCCAAGGGCGUUCGAAUGCAUCCGACUCAUCUUCACCUUGCCAAUAACGGGUGCUUGACACAUCGUUUGCUGCCAAUCAUUAUUGUGAUUUUAAUACUAUUGGUAUUCUAACUAUCAAGAUGACUGCUUGUAGAGCCAGAUUGCCUGGAUUCAAACUCCAGUUCACAACCUACUAACUGUAUGCCUUUAGGUAAACUCAGAUGCCUCUGAUGGAUUCGAAAUAACCAGAUAUAUUUCUGAAUUGCUUCAUAUGGAUUUGGCGUAACAGAAAUCUGCAGAAACAGGAGAGUCGGCGCAACGGCCCUUUGGAAGAUAUCUAGCAGGAUCACUGUGCCGACCACACCCUUCCUUUCAAAUUUAUCUUUCAUGCUGCUUUUCUGGAGUUUUGUGUCUAUAGGGUACAGGCAGGAAACAGAUGGCCCACUCAAACUGGGUAAGAAGGAAGUUUAAGAAAGAGACUAUUUGCACGGACAUGGGCAGGGUGUAGGGAACACCAUGGAUGGUGCAGCUCUGGGGUCCAGCAAUGGUGAGAAGCCAUCACCACCCCUGCCAGGAGAGGGCAAGAAGAGGGGGUAAGCUGGAACCCAGAGAGCCAGCUGCGUGGAGGGGGCUGAGUGUGGCAAGAGCUGUGGCCCUCUGAAGGGCCCUACAACCAACCUGGACGGCAAGAAUCAAACUCCAACAGACAUUUGUCCACAGAGUCCUGGUUUGCUCCCAUCGCUCUUUCUCAAAAGUACCACAGUUUGGACAAUAAAUGGGUUGAUCACUUGUACAAAGGUGCCUGUUGGUACAGUCCAUACAGAACAGCUUUCUGACAAAGCGAAGCAGGGGAGGUUGGAGAGUGAAUUGGGGCUCAGGGGAGCAAUGGAAAAUAUUCAGCAUGAACGUCGACUGCUCAGUAGUAAAUGUCUUUUUGUUUUUUUAUUUUUUUGAGACAAGAUCUAGCUCUGUCACCCAGGCUGGAGUGCAGUGGCACGAUCUCGGCUCAGGCCCAAGACAGCCUCCCACCUCAGCCUCCUGAGUAGCUGGGACUACAGGUGUGCACCACCAUGCACAGCUAGUUUUUGUAUUUUUUGUAGAGAUGUGGUUUUGCCAUUU
rnacentral:lncRNA from 1 species